rnacentral:rRNA from 1 species
CCUACGGGUGGCAGCAGUGGGGAAUAUUGGACAAUGGGCGAAAGCCUGAUCCAGCCAUGCCGCGUGUGUGAAGAAGGCCUUCGGGUUGUAAAGCACUUUCAGUGGGGAAGAAAGCCUUGGGGCUAAUACCCUCGAGGAAGGACAUCACCCACAGAAGAAGCACCGGCUAACUCCGUGCCAGCAGCCGCGGUAAUACGGAGGGUGCGAGCGUUAAUCGGAAUUACCGGGCGUAAAGCGCGCGUAGGCGGUCUGAUAAGCCGGUUGUGAAAGCCCCGGGCUCAACCUGGGAACGGCAUCCGGAACUGUCAGGCUAGAGUGCAGGAGAGGAAGGUAGAAUUCCCGGUGUAGCGGUGAAAUGCGUAGAGAUCGGGAGGAAUACCAGUGGCGAAGGCGGCCUUCUGGACUGACACUGACGCUGAGGUGCGAAAGCGUGGGUAGCAAACAGGAUUAGAUACCCCAGUAGUC